rnacentral:rRNA from 1 species
UACAGAGGGUGCAAGCAUUGUUCGGAAUUAUUGGGCGUAAAGCGCGUGUAGGCGGCUUUGCAAGUCGGGUGUGAAAGCCCUCAGCUCAACUGAGGAAGUGCGCCCGAAACUGCAGAGCUUGAGUGCCGGAGAGGGUGGCGGAAUUCCCCAAGUAGAGGUGAAAUUCGUAGAUAUGGGGAGGAACACCGGUGGCGAAGGCGGCCACCUGGACGGUGACUGACGCUGCGACGCGAAAGCGUGGGGAGCAAACAGG